GAACGCUGGCGGCGUGCCUAAUACAUGCAAGUCCGAGCGAACGGAUGAGGAGCUUGCUCCUCUGACGUUAGCGGCGGACGGGUGAGUAACACGUGGAUAACCUACCUAUAAGACUGGGAUAACUUCGGGAAACCGGAGCUAAUACCGGAUAAUAUAUUGAACCGCAUGGUUCAAUAGUGAAAGACGGUUUUGCUGUCACUUAUAGAUGGAUCCGCGCCGCAUUAGCUAGUUGGUAAGGUAACGGCUUACCAAGGCAACGAUGCGUAGCCGACCUGAGAGGGUGAUCGGCCACACUGGAACUGAGACACGGUCCAGACUCCUACGGGAGGCAGCAGUAGGGAAUCUUCCGCAAUGGGCGAAAGCCUGACGGAGCAACGCCGCGUGAGUGAUGAAGGUCUUCGGAUCGUAAAACCCUGUUAUUAGGGAAGAACAAAUGUGUAAGUAACUAUGCACGUCUUGACGGUACCUAAUCAGAAAGCCACGGCUAACUACGUGCCAGCAGCCGCGGUAAUACGUAGGUGGCAAGCGUUAUCCGGAAUUAUUGGGCGUAAAGCGCGCGUAGGCGGUUUUUUAAGUCUGAUGUGAAAGCCCACGGCUCAACCGUGGAGGGUCAUUGGAAACUGGAAAACUUGAGUGCAGAAGAGGAAAGUGGAAUUCCAUGUGUAGCGGUGAAAUGCGCAGAGAUAUGGAGGAACACCAGUGGCGAAGGCGACUUUCUGGUCUGUAACUGACGCUGAUGUGCGAAAGCGUGGGGAUCAAACAGGAUUAGAUACCCUGGUAGUCCACGCCGUAAACGAUGAGUGCUAAGUGUUAGGGGGUUUCCGCCCCUUAGUGCUGCAGCUAACGCAUUAAGCACUCCGCCUGGGGAGUACGACCGCAAGGUG
rnacentral:rRNA from 1 species